rnacentral:lncRNA from 1 species
UGAAUAGGGGUGAAACAAGCAAAGGCUAGUUUGUUCGGGCCAAAGGCCUAAGCCUCACUAAGAAUUCAUCCGGGUUUCAAGAUCCCUACGAAAUCUCCAAGAAAUGGUCAGUCGAAAUUCUCCACCGAAAUUCCAUGAACGGAGUGAGAUGCACCUCACCGGAAGCUGACAUCGUCCUCCCCACGACUCUAAGUCAGUGUUUCUUCAAAUCAAAACCUCACUCUGAUCUGACGCUCGCCGAUCCACACACCCAAAUUUAAAACUCAAUGGCAACAAAAGCAAAACUACAUCUUCCUCAUUCGAUCUCAAAUCGGCACUGAAACAACAAACACGGCGCAAGAAAUUCGGAAUCGCUUCGAUCUUGCGCGAACAACCCAAAAUUUGACGAAGAUGAACGAAUUCGGUUUUCUCCCUUCAAUUCGAAAACGAAAUUGACGUCGAUUGCGUUUCGAUCCUCUUCUUUGCUUAUCACACUUCAGUUUGCGACGUUGUUGUUGUUUUAAGAUGAAGGAUGUUGGCACUGCCACUUUGUCGUGUGCGACGGCGUAUUGAGAUUGAUAUGAAGCCUUGCUCGUGUGCGCUUGCGAUGGUUGUUGAAGCGAGGCAGGCGAUGAAGAUGUGUGAAGAUUUUGUGGAGAGGAAGGUGACGAAGAAGAUAGGAGAUUGAAGUUUCUUGAAGGUUUUGCAUAGUUGCAAAAAUGGAGAAGAUUAGAAGAUGGUGACAAAGCCGAAAGGGAUUAAAUCAUUCUAACAAAAAUGGAAGAGCAUGGAAUCAUGAACAUAUCGGAGGAAUUGUAGUUGGAAGGUUCAAGCCCUAAUUCCGCUCCCUUCACGUCAACAAAAUGGACUCAAGGCCAAAACUUCAACCGAUAUCAAGAACAACAUGGAAACGAGGCUAACAAUUCACACUAGCAAUGGAAUGAAAACAUGACGCCAUUAGUUAUGAUAAAUCGAAGUAACUUACCAGAAUGAAGCACCGCAGAGGUUCCGGUGUCGUCGAUGUCGCUCACAGGUGAGUUUCUCUAUGUGCUUUCUGCAAUUUCCUCUUCUUCUUUCUUCCUCUUCUGAAUUCACGAGCGAUGAAAAGAGACUGAGGAGGCUUAGCUCAAGCAGAAUUGAAGCUUCGAUGUGAAGCUUCAAUGGCUUUUUUGAAAGAGAAAAAGAGCUCUGGUGAGGGUGAGGGAAAAGGUUGCAAGAGAGAGAGAGAGUGCAGGUUUAUGCCAAAAAAUGCCAAGGGCUCAAAAUGUGAGUGAUCAAGCCCUUAAAUAGAGUUGAGGUUCGGGACUUGCUAGCUUCGGAUUGAGGUUAGGAAUUAGUUGAGGGUGGCUUGGAGUUAGUUAAACUCAACUCACUGAGUUAAAUGGAAAAACUCAGUUAGUUAUAUUAGGGAAACUCAGUUAGUUAUGUGUGUAGAUGUUGGUUAGUGAGUGAGUGGGAACUUGACUGGCUGUUGCAGGUUACUGUUAGAUUAAUGUCACAUUGGAAGGGUUUUUAAUGACUUGUUGUUUAUGUUGCAGGUUAGGAACUUUGGCUUGGACUUAUGAAAGGCUUUGGUGUGUGGAAACAAAUGAGUACGUUAGCUGUGAAUCGAACUGGAUUCUGCUAUAUCAUUUUAGAUGUUAGAUCAAAGAUUGCUAAUGAUAGUUAGCUUAUGCAGGUGUUGCUUGGACCCUGUGAAGCUAUGCGAAACCGAGUCAAGCAUUCCAUCUUCCAAACACAAGGCAACGUGUCGCUUCUACCAUAACUUCACUGCACCCUUGGCCAUCGGCGGAGGCUAGCCAUAAACCUUUUGUGACUUGCUCCGGUGUCGGAGAGGAAGUUGUUAAUGCCCGCUUGGAUUAACUGAAAAACUACUUCGGGUUUGUUGGAAGUCUUGUUCAACCGAAAACCGGUGUGGCGGAGAGAUUCCAUCAAUGAGGUUUGUUAAUCUACUAAGAAAACCUAUUUAAUGACUAUUAUGUUAUGGUUUUUUUUGCUUUCUGUUAUGGUUUUUAAGUGAAAACCGUUGGUUGUAAUGGACUGGUGAUGUUAAUUUGUUGGGAGAUUGUUAUUGCAUUCCGUUAUGGUCAAUUCAGUUGGGUCGUGUACAUGUGGUCAUGGUAGUGCAGACUGGUAUGGUGCAGAGUUCUCUAAAGUUAACUCUCGGCUUUGCUUGAAUUUUCAGGAACAACCCCGAGGCUAAAAUGGAAUGAAGACAUUCAAGCUGUCUAUGGAGAGCAACAAGAUGCAGUGACGUAGCACCAUUUCCACAUUUUAUAUUCACAAAUCUGGCAAAUCCCCAAGAAUCUGCUACAGGCGUGGAAUGAGCAGCUGAACGAAUAGCCUUUAGGAAAUCUACAUGGCCACAACAUGCAACAUAGUUCAAGCAAGUUCUUUGACAAAUAGAAUCAAACAUCAAUAUAUUAGCUCCAGCUUGAAUAAGCUUUUCCAUGCAACCGUUCUUUCCAUGCAUCACAUCCAACUUUAAUGACGUCUGUUUGUGACGAUUCAAGACAUCAACUUUACCAUUCUGCUCCAACAACAUGGAAAGCACCUCGAUCCGACCAUGAAGAGGAGGCAAACUAGCUAAACCAAUAGUUCUAUCCAACACGUUCAUAAGAUCAUCAACCAUAGCUUCAACAACAUCCAAAACCAUUGGCAAACAAAAGUGAUAAUUUUUAUUGUUUGUGGUAAAUUGUGUCAUGAAUUGCCGUGAAUUUGUUAUGUUGUUGGUCUUUUGUUCAGUUGGUGAAACAAUCUGUUGAAAAUUGUUGGCUUUGGUUGAAAUUCUGUUGCAUUUUGCAGGUUUAGCCGAGGCCAUUAGAAGUUGUUUAGAUGUGUCGUCUUCAACACCAACAAUUACCUUAACGGAAUUCGUAGGACCAUCUUCAUUUCCAUCUUGUAAAUUCAAUGCCAAGAUUUCUGUCAUACUCAUUUUCGACCCUUACAGCUCUCAUUUUAGUUGCUUCUCUAACUUGGCUUCUUUGUGGAAAGAUAAGCAAGGGGUGAAUGCAAAGCACGGUCUGGAGGAAUCACAGUCCUUUGGGAGUAAUUCAGAGAGUGGCGAAGUUCCAAUAUAAGAAGGAAGUGGGAGAUUUCCUAGAAGCAAUCAAACACAAUAGAGUAUCAAGAGUAGGUUGAGCCAUGCAGUGGAAGAUUUGCAGCUAAGAAGUCAGGUAGAAAAUAUGGAACUUGAUGACCAUGCAGUUGUCAGUAUUUUCCAUUUUCAAUGCAGUUAUGGAGUGGUCAGCAGGGCAGAAGCCGUUGUAGGAUCUGCUGCUGAAGCAUCACUGCUGGUUGCCAACCUCGUUGUUUAUCAUCAUGAAAUUGCAGGUGGAUCCUGCUGUAUUUUGUUGCUGCGUUUUGUCAAACACCAAGCCUUGUUUCUGCAUGUUCUAUUAUUAGUGUUUUGUACAUGUCCAUGAGGUACCACAACUCAGACAAUCCCUUCUAUUCUCUGCACCAAGACCCGUAAUCGUCGUGCUGACGUUCUUCGCUCAGUAUCACUCCACCUACAAAAUUCUGGGAAUAAUUAUAGGCGAGCCUAAAUACACUGACCACCAACAACGGAAAUACAACACCAAAACUUCUAAGCGACAAUGAUUUCAGGUUCCUCCAGACCAGUUCUCACUUCAGCCCUUAAUUCAACUGCACGUUCAUCUCUCUACCUUCAAUUCAUAAAAGCAAUGCCAUGAGUUGGUUUAUCCACUCCAAUUGAGAAUCUCCCGAUAAAGAACUCAAGGAAAGCAUCAAGCUCAGCUUCAUACUGAAAUAGCAUUCCUGGCUUCGUUAAGGUAAAUACUUUUACCAACUAAUCUUUCAACAUGGCUGACAUUUCAAUGUCCACUCUAGCAGCAUCAACUUGGUUGACUCUUGUUAUCGAGAUUGGGAUCAUUGAUCGGAGAGGGAGGGAAACAGACGUCCAACGAGAGAACAGGUAGCGGGAAGUGAGAGUUCAUGCUUUGUUUCUGGUUAUUUGAUGUCGCGCAACUGCUGUUGAAGGAUUGUGGCAAGUGAUGCAGAGCCCUUCCUUGUGAGGUUUAGUUUCGACAAAUGGUUUUGCAGGUUAUCACGUCAUCGUUAUUGGCCUGCUAGUAUAGGGUUUAUGCAGGACUACUUCAUAGGCAAGAUGUUGUUGUUUGUAAUUUGAUGAUGGCUUAUUGGAUGUUACAGGUUUAUGCAAGGUUGUUGUUGGUAUGAUGCGGGCAUUUGAGGGGAAGCAUGGGGCUUGAAAUCAUCACAUGAGCAAUAAUGGCAUUACAGGGAGAGCUUGAACGCAAGGGAAUGGAACAGUUGGCGCAGUCGGGUUAUGAUGUACCAUGGUCUGCGGGGCCGGAACAACAAGGUUUGAUGUUAGGGUCGACAGAAUACCGCUGCAGGUUUGGCUGCUAGCGGAUUGUUGCAAGUCUGCUUGUACGGAUUUGGUCUAAGGAUGCUGGCGCGGGAAUGUCGCGACACGACUCACUGCCGCUGGAAAAUGAUAGUGAAGGCUUGGAGUGUCUCUCAAACCGGACACCGAAAUUCAUAAAGGGACUGAUUCUCCUGAUUAGAAAACAAACCCACUCGGUGCCGUCACUCAGGAGGUAACACCAAGUCACCAUUGGAUCCUCGUCUAACUGCUGAUGUGCCUUGUUGCAGUCCACCUGCACUAUCUUCCAUAUAGAGUUAGAUGUCCCACUUGCAAGACUUCCAGGCUUCACAGAAUCAAACGCUUACUUUGCUUGAUGUCCACUUUUUGUUUACAACUUAUAACAUGGUGUCUUCAAACAAUUUUGCAUCGGAAUAGGCUGCCACUGAUUUAUAAUUGUCGACUUUUGUGGUGAUGUGGCCUAAAAUAAACAUGUACAUAGUUUUGCAUUAUGUCUUUAGUGUAAUGAAUCUUGUACUAUGUGGUUUAGAUAGUGGAAUUUUUUAAUUCUUAUCAUUAAAUCUGAAUGGGAUUUGGGAUCUGUUGUAAGGAGAUUGGAUGGGUGUGAUUUUGGGAUUUGAUUGGGAUUGUAAUGAAUGGUGUAAUUUUGUGUUACCUCUAUGGAAUGAUUGGAAUUGGAAUUCUGUUGUGCAUUUUGUAACUUUUUGGUUUGAAAUAUUUGGUUUGAGUCUAAUGGUCAUGGAUGGGAUGAAAGGCUAUAAUGGAAAUUGGUUAUAGAAUAGUUUUGUAUUAGAAAUAACUAGUAUUGUAAGUGGUCAUUGAAUAGUUUACGAUCGUGUAAUGAGCGAAUAUGGUUUGAAAAGUUGUUUGAAAAAUUUAAACUGAACAUGGUAUGUGGUUUGAAAGUGACUUUGGUUUCACGAUUGAUCAUGAUAGAUCAAAGAAAAUUAAAGAUUAGGAAAAAGUGUCGAUUGACUCUGGUCAACUGGUUAACAAAAAAACAACAGUUGACCAAAAGUCACCUUAAGUAAAAGUGUGUAUUUUCUUAUGGAUAGUUGAAUAUGUGCCUCUUAAAUACUCCAUGCUAAGAAUAAACUCAGAUGCAUACCAACCAAUCAGCAUAUCACGGCCAUGUAAAGCUUUGAAUGAAUCCCAAUCGAUGAAUCAGGACCAUGGAUUUUCUAAGCACAGGAACCAUCCGUAAUGGAUCAGAUGAACCAGACGAAAUCUCAAUUUUUAGUGUAUAUCCCAUGAUGCUGAUGCCAUAGUUAUAAACCAGGGUUUUCACCCCCCUCAAAGUAGAUCACGUGAUUCCUGACCUUCUAACGCUUAGGGUUUUGAUGAAUCCCGAAUCCAAGGUCAAUUGAGCAAAGCACUUGAACACAAAUUAUCCCUGAUUAGGGUUUUAAGCCAAUCACAAAGCUCCACCAACAACUCCUCAAAUCAUGGGCCCACAACUAGGAUUUUAGAAGCCCGAUCUAUGCACAAAAACCAAACAACAAGAACUCUCAAGACCAAGAAUCAGGGUUGCAACCCACACGAUGCGCGAUACUAAAAUCUUUAAUCCAAUCCUGCUAUGGGAAACAAGAACCUUGAAUCUAUGAUGUUUGUUAGUCGAAGUUAACCAUGAAUGAAUGAUGAAUAUGAGUGAGACAUGAAUGAGGUUAGGUGGAUCUCAGGUUACGGAUUAGAUGAAAAAGCAAAAUGGGGGCAAAUUUUGGGGUACUACAGUUGCCCCUAUUUAAUUUUCUUGGACCUUAAUACAGGAAUUGCGGAAGCUUUUCAUGUAUUCAAGGUAGAAGAGGAUUAAAUACCUACGUGCCCGAAAUUCGUCGGUCCAAAUGAUUGACUUUGUUACCAGUGGGGAGGAUACGUCUUAUGCAAUGCAUGAGGUAUGCUUUUUUUUAUGAUGCAUGCUUUUGCAGGGAUGAGUCUUUAUUAUGGUCGGGAUUUCGACUCAUCGUCAAGAAUUAGGACACGAUCACCAAGAAGUUUCGAUUGGUGCAAACACUACCAUCACGGAACCCCCUGCUUGCUAAGGAACACUGACCAGCUGGAGUCCCCAGGGUGCCCCAGUCAAUUGGAUGUAACAGGCAUCCAAGCAACACUAUUGUUGAGUCACCCAUCACCUAUCAGGUUUAUCGGAUUUCAACGGUAAUGCAAAUUAUUUCUCUUUAAUGUAGCCUUUUAUUAUUCCCCAAAAUUUUAAAGCAUUAUAUGAUUUAAGACAAGUCAGUUAUUUUGCAUACAAAACAUUGAACAACACAUUGGAUGGAAUAACUGAACUUUAUUGAGGAUUAGAGACCCACCUGAGAAGGCCUUCUUGACUACGAACGGUCCCUCAUAGUUGGGAGUCCAUUUGCCUCACGGGUCCGAGUGAAUGGCAGAAUAUCUUUUGAGCACGAGGUCUCCAGCGUGGUACGACCGGGGAAGAACCUUCUUAUCAAAAGCUUGUUUGAGACGCCUUUGGUAUAACUGACCAUGACAGACGGGCGUCUAACGCUUCUCUUCAAUUAGAUUCAGUUGGUCAUAUCGAGAUUGAACCCAUUCAGCUUCAUCAAGAUCUGCUUCUAUGAUGACUCUGAGUGAAGGAAUCUCAACUUCGAUUGGUAGAUCAACCUCCAUCCCAUAAACCAGAGAGUAUGGAGUUGCCCCAGUGGAUGUGCGGACUGAGGUUUUGUAACCAUGCAAGGCGAAAGGUAACAUCUCAUGCCAGUCCUUAUAUGUCUUGACCAUCUUCUGGACGAUUCUCUUGAUAUUCUUGUUAGCUGCUUCUACGACGCCAUUCAUCUUGGGCCGGUAUGGUGAAGAGUUGUGGUGCUCGAUCUUAAAUUCUUCUCAUAACUCCCUCAUCAUAGUAUUGUUCAGAUUACUGGUGUUAUCAAUGAUGAUCUUGCUAGGUAUCCCUUAGCGGCAGAUUAUCUUUUUCUUGAUAAACCGGGUAACCACUUGUCGAGUGAGAUUGGCAUAUGAAGCAGCCUCGACCCACUUCAUGAAGUAAUCAAUAGCGACUAGGAUGAAUCGAUGUCCAUUGGAAGCUUUAAGUUCGGUCAUCCCAAUCAUAUUUAUGCCCCACAUAGAAAAGGGCCAUGGAGAAGUUAGGACAUUCAACGGAGUUGGUGGUACAAAGAUCUUAUCACCAUAUAUCUGGCACUUAUGGCAUUUUUUCACAAAGUUGUAGCAAUCAACCUCCAUUGUUGUCCAAUAAUAACCAACUCGGAGAAUCUUCUUAGCCAUAGCAGGACCUUUCGUAUGUACACCCUCACAACCUUCGUGUAUGGACCUUAUGAUUGUACUAGCUUCGUGUCUAUCCACGCAUCUGAGCAGUACAGAAUCAUAAUUCCUCUUAUACAACACAUCACCAUUUAGGAAGAACUUAGAAGAGAGUCUUCUUAGAUCCUUCUUAUCGAUAAUGGAUAUACCCUCAGGGUACUGUCGUUUCUCCAGAAAUGUCUUUAUGUCAUAGAACUAAGGCUUAUCGUCAGGAUCAACCUCAAUUGCUAGACAAUGUGCAGGUUCAUCUAAGUGGUCAAUCUGGACGGAUGGUGCCUCAUUCUUCCAUUUGACUUUAAACAUAGAUGCCAGCGUAGCUAAAGCAUCUACUAACUGAUUUUCUUCCCUAGAAAUAUGAUGAAAGGAGAUCUCAUCAAAGUAAGGGAUCAGUUUUCUGAUAUGCUCUUUGUAGGGUAUCAACUUGCUAUCUCGAGUCUCCCAAUCGCCUUUCACUUGACUGAUUACUAGAGCUGAAUCACCGAAUACCUCAAGGAUUUUAAUUCUCAAGUCGACCGCCGCCUCUAAACCGUAGAUACAUGCUUCGUAUUCUGCCAUAUUGUUGGUGCAGUCAAAACAUAAUCUGGCGGUAAAGGGGAUGUGGAAACCAGUUGGAGAAGUGAUAAUAACACCUAUACCAUGACCUCGGGCAUUGGAAGCACCAUCGAACACGAGCGUCCAUCGCGAUCCUGGUUCGAGGCUUACCUCGAAGCCUGGCAUAGUAAAACCUCUGAUAAACACGAUGUCCUCAUCUGGAAAGUCAAACUUUAAUGAUUGGUAGCCUUCAACAGGCAGGUGAGCUAGAUAGUCAGACAUAAUACUCCCUUUUAUUGCUUUCUGGGUCACAUAUUGUAUAUCAUACUCGGUGAGCAGCAUUUGCCACCGGGCAAUUCUUCCAGUAACAACAGGUUUUUCAAAUAAGUACUUUAUUGGAUCCAUCUUGGAUAUCAAUAAAUUAGUGUGGCAAAUCAUAUAUUGCCUCAGGCGUCGAGCAACCCAAGUCAAGGCACAACAAGUCUUCUCUAAAAGUGAGUAUCGGGUCUCACAUUCAGUGAAUUUCUUGUUGAGAUAGUAGAUAGCAUGUUCUUUCUUUCCUGUGUCGUCAUGUUGACCCAAAACACAACCCAUAGAUUCAUCCAACACUGUCAGGUACAUGAUGAGUGGUCUACCAGGAACCGGUGGUACCAGGAUUGGUGGUUCUUGUAAGUACUUCUUUAUUUUGUCGAAUGCCCAUUGGCAAUCGUCAUUCCACAUAAUCGAUUGAUUCUUUCUCAACAACUUGAAAAUCGGUUCGCAGGUAGCUGUCAGGUGAGAUAUGAAUCUGGAGAUGUAAUUAACUCGCCCAAGGAAACCUUGGACUUCCUUUUCUGUUCGGGGAGCUGGCAUAUCUUGGAUGGCUCAAACUUUGUCGGGAUCAACCUCAAUACCCUUCUGACUGACUAUGAAACCCAGAAGUUUAUCUGAUCGGACUCCAAAAGUACAUUUGGCUGGAUUCAGACGCAGUUUAAACUUUCAGAGUCUGACAAAUAACUUUCUCAGAUUGACCAAGUGAUCUUCCUAAGUUAUGGAUUUGGCAAUCAUGUCGUCCACGUAAACCUCAAUCUCUUCAUGAAUCAUGUCGUGAAAGAGUGUUACCAUGGCAUGUUGAUAUGUUGCCCUUGCAUUCUUCAAGCCGAAUGACAUGACUUUGUAGCAGUAAGUUCCCUCAGGCGUGAUAAAGGUUGUCUUCUCCAUAUCAUCUGGUGACAUCUUUAUCUGAUUGUACCCGGAGAACCCAUCCAUGAAAGAAAAGACAGAGAAUUGAGAUGUGUUGUCAACCAAAACAUCAACAUGAGGCAAAGGGAAGUCAUCCUUUGGAUUGGCUCUAUUGAGGUCUCGAUAGUCUACACACAUUCUGACUUUACCAUCUUUCUUAGGAACUGGAACGAUAUUAGCAACCCAUUGCAGAUACUCAGAAAUGGCUAAGAAACCAGCAUCUAGUUGCUUUUUAACCUCUUCCUUGAUCUUGAGUGCCAUAUCGGGUAUGGUCCUUUUGAGCUUCUACUUAACUGGAGGACAUUCAGGCUUGAGUGGUAGAUGAUGUUCAACAAUGCUGGUGUCUAACCCUGGCAUAUCCUGAUACGACUACGCGAAGACGUCCACAUAUUCACGUAACAGAUCUACCAACUCGGAGUGUACAUGCUUAGCGAGAGAUGCCCCUACUUUCACCUCUUUUUUGUCAGUUUCAGAACCCAAAUUAAUGACAUCCACUGGUUCUUUGUAUGGCUGAAUCUCUUUCUCCUCGUGCUCAAGGAGUCGUGCUAGUUCAGUUGGUAAUUCGCAAUCUUCCUCACUAUCAUCUUCAGCUCGGUUGAUUGGAAGUCCAGAUUCAUAGUUGAUUUUAGCCAUGUUGUAAUCGGUGAUUUUAUUUUCUCUGCAUAUGAUGAGCUUAUUUUAGUAUUCUUUUUAUUUUUGAGAAAAAGUGGAAAAAAGAAAAAGAAAUCUUUUGCCAUUUCGUUGUUUUUAGUGAAAACAAAAAAUAUCUGAAAGAAAAGGAACACGAGUUUUGCAUGCAAAAAAGUACUUUUAUUUAUUCACAUAAUACUUUUAAACAUGGGGGUCCUUACAAGUUGUCCUCUCGUCUCGGGCAAGGACGAGGGACGGAGAAAACAAAAUGCAUUACGUUUUUUCCAAGUACACCAUAGGUAUCACGGUGGCCAUCCAGUUGGGAAGCUUGAAUCCUGGAGGACAUCUGCGAACAAGGCUGGAUGCCCCUGGCUUGCUACCACUGGACUCUUCGAUGACCGCUACGGUAUGCUCAUUUUGAUAGUCGGCGCUGUUGAACUUGACCGGGUUGAAUUGCUUUUUCUUUGGACUCACCUUGCAUGUUGCUGGGUGAUAACCAAUACCAAACUUGUCGCGCUUUUCUGCCACAUUGACGACCUUACCCCAACCAGGAAGAGGGCCUUUCUCCAAUGUCUGCUUGGCACUCUUCGCUGAGGAUAUGAUGGUAGCAGAUGAUUGAUUGUUGUUGGCGGAUGCAGAACUGACAUUUUCAAACUCUAGGCAGUGGAGCAGAACCUCGACGAUCCCCUCAUCUGUUUCGACAUAUCUGAAAGACGAAAGUUCACUGACCAGCAAAUCCUCUUCACCACACAUAAUUACCAGCUUGUCAUCUAUCAAGUACUUCAGCUUCUGAUGCAAAGUAGAAGUGACUGCCCCAGCGACAUGAAUCCACGGUCGACCCAACAAACAACUGUAGGCUGGAUUGAUGUCCAUGACUUGAAAAGUAAUAUCAAACUGGUGUGGUCCAACACAAAUCGGCAAAUCAACCUCCCCAAUUACCUUCGGGAACCAUCGAAAGCUAUGACGAUCAGUGCACUGGUUCUCAUCUCGGGCCCCUUAAACUGUAACUGACUUAAUGUAGAUUUUGGCAAUACAUUAAGCGAGGAUCCAGUAUCAACAAGGACUCAGGAUAAGAGAGAGUCAGUACAUGUGACCGAAAUAUGUAGUGCUUUGUUGUGGGCCUUUCCCUCAGGAGGUAACUCUUCUUCAUUAAAUCCCAGAUACCUACUAGCGAUGAUGUUGGCAACCACGUCGUCAAAUUGAUCGACCGUGAUAUCUUGCAUCACAUGAGCGGUAUUUAGAACUUUCAACAAUGCUUUGCGAUGAGCCUCAAAACUCAAUAGCAAAGACAAAAUGGAUAUUUUAGAAGGCGUCUGAUUCAACUGUUCCACAAUCUUGAAGUCAUUCUUUCUGAUCAAUUUGAGGAAUUCCUGACUUUCCUCAAAGGUGAUACUCUUCUUGUGAUCCUCAGACUGUUCUUUUUCAACCAUCGGCCCUUUCCCUUUGGAUACUUUGGCCUCUGCAACUUUGUCAUUGUCAAUAACUCUCGUCACCACCGGAGCAGCCGUCACGGUCGGAGUGGCGAGUACAGUUGUCUUUGCCUGCGGUGUGGGCGUAGGAGUUGCCUGCUCUUUAAGUGAGACAAUUGUGGGUGCUGUAGACACCAUAGGAAUGUAUUUAGGAGCAAAUACACGGCCACUUCGAGUCAUGCCUCCCUCUCCAGCGAUAUUGAUGAUCUCUGUAUCAGGAAUGCAGAUUUCUUUCCCUCCCAUUUACGAUGUAGUCUCAUAAUUCCAAGGCACUACCUUGGUGUUCUGAUACGGAAAUGGAGUUGGGACGCGGAAAUGGAUCGGCUGAAUCCUCUUGGGAGGAGCUUCAACCUUCUUCUUCCUGUAUACAAUUGUUAUCGGUUCAAUCACUCUACCUCUUCUGCUGCUUGAGCUUUAGAGAAUUGUAUUAAACCUUGGUCCAUUAGUGCCUGCACGCACUCUUUCAACUGCUCGCAACUAUCGGGAUCAAACUCACAUACUGUACAAUCUUCAUGCACCUCUUCUAAAAACCCAAAUUGUUCAAGUUUUUGUAACACAACAAACAUCGGAGUCUUCACCUCUUCAACUUUCAGUACGACCUCAGCAUUUACCUCCUCAAUGACGGCGUUGACUGACGCGCCGCUAUGAUUCGGCAAAGGAUUGGUCUUUACAUUCGGUUUCUUUGGUAUGAUUGCCCCCACAUGAACCAGAUUGAGGACUAAUUCGGAGUACGGCACCGGGAUUUUGUCAAACUGGGGGCGGUUCCCAAAAUUGUUCCCUCGGUUCUAUGCUCGAUAUUGUUGGUUUGGAUUUCUCUGAUUGGAUGUUGAUGUUCGAUUGUCUCUCUGCGGUUGAUAUUGGAAAGGCGGCUGUUGGUAUUGAGUUGCGGCAAUGUACUUGUAUGGAUAAUACGGCAUAGGGGUUGUCGGAACUCAAUGUCGGGGGAGAGCCUUCGCCAUCACAGUGUUUGCUUCCCCCUCCUUCUUCUUCGUGAAGCCCCCAUGCGGUCUUUUGUUGACUGACUGCGACGCGGUCGUGUCCGUUAUUUUCCCCGAUUUCAACCCACUUUCAACACGUUUUCCAAUUGUGACCAUAUCGGCGAAGUUUGUUGAUGAACUGCCAAUCAUUUUCUCAAAGUACAGCCCAUGCAACGUGCCCAUAAAUAUGUCAACCAACUCAUUGUCAGGUAGUGUUGGUCGAACCCUAGACGCCAUUUCGCGCCACCGUUGAGCAUACUCUUUGAAGGUUUCAUUAGACCUUUGUGACUAGUUCUGUAGUUGGAGCCUUGUCGGAGCCAUGUCAAGGUUGUAUUUGUAUUGUUUCAAGAAUGCCUCAAAGAGCUCUCUCCAUGAUCGGAUCUUCGAGUGCUCCAAACUCAUAUAGCAAUCCAAGGAAGCCCCAAUCAGGCUGUCUUGGAAGCAAUGAAUCAGGAGGUUGUCGUUAUCAAUAUGCGAAGCCAUCUUCCUGCAGUACAUGGUGGGGUGACUGCGAGGACAGCUAAGACCAUUGUAUUUCGGGAGAUCAGGCACUUUGAACUUCUGGGGUAACACCACGUUCGGGACCAAGCAAAGGUCUCGAGCAUCUAUCCCAAAAGAAGAGAAGCCCUCAAUGGCCCUUAUUCUGUCGUCCAGGAGUUGGUAAUCUGCUGGUCUGGCCAGAUAAACAACAGGAGGAGCGACCUGACUAGCCGGUCGAGAGGCUUCAGGAGCAAUUGGCGCUGACAUGCUCGGAUUGAACCAUAUUGGCGGGUAAGAAAAACCUGUUGUCACAGUCUGAGCAGCAGUGGGGGGUUGAAAGUAUUGCAUCCCAGGUUGAGCAUUGGGAGUCUGAGGUGCCCCUGUCUGCAUAUACUGGGAUGCAGGAGUCAUCAUCAUGGGCACAGGUCCUGCCCCUGGGUAGCCAAAAGGGACGGGGAUCUGGCCAGUGCUCGUAGCUUGAGCAGUCUGGCUGGGCAGUUGGAAGUGGAGGCGCGGGCCUCGAUAGUCUUCAUCAUCAUUGGGGAGGUCGUCAAGGACCUGGCCCUGGUUGUCCUCCGGGUCAACAACAAUGACCGGAGUAGUGUGGAGAGCAGGGAGAACCCAAAGAAAACCAGAGUUUCCUGCAACGGUGGCGAGAGCCGAGUGAGGGAAGAAAGCUCCCCCACUAGUGAGGUUGACAGCAAGGUGAGGAGGCAUUCCCCACAGGUAGGCAGCAGCAAGCCUAGUGGGAUCCGCGGGUACCACCUGGCGGUUCCCAGUGUUGGGCACCAUAGUUUCUGCCGGAGGAUCAACGGUAGUGCCAGCAGUAGCAUCAGAAAUGGUCACCCCAGCAGCACGGGUGACAUUGGCAGCAGCAUAGGCAGGGUUCCUCUGAGAUUGGAAGAGCUCCAGGAUGGUCUCCAUAUUGCCCCUGAAGACAUUCAUCUCUCCUUGCACCUGGGCAAGGGAUUCACGAACAGCAACAUUGUCGGCUUCGUAUUCGGCCAUGAUCUUAGCUUUGCUUGAACGUUUGUAGUACGAGUGACGAGUCGUCGUUGUUGCUGCAGUAAAACGGCGAGUGUAAGCAUUUUGUUUUCUGACAGCUUUAUGCUAUGAAUGUAAUAUAUGCAUGUUUAACAAAUAGAAAAAAUAUUAUUUCUAGGGUGUUAGUGUGCCAGUGUGCAUACAUAGUCAUACAGUGAGCAAGGAUAAGACAACAUAAGCAUUUCAACAAAAUCUCUUUUAUUCAUUUGAAUGACAAACAGUACAAAUUAUUACAACUCGAGGUCAUUUCGAUGCACUAGCAUGAAGAUCAAAUUUGAUCAUUCCCAUAACAACCCUACAUACAGAAACAAAAUGAAAAACAGUCUUCGGGGUGUUCUGAGGAAACAUGUCAGCAUAGGCCUUCUUCAAUAACCCAGGAAGGUCCUCGAGUGAUUGGCUAGCAAAUUCGGCCAAGCGAGCAUGUCUGUCUGUCCAAUACUGGGCAUCUCUGACGAGGUUAUGUAUUAAGGAAAGACUUGGUCCAUUCAAGAUGUCUUGUACGAAUUCUUCCUUCUAGUCUAAGAGAACUUACAAGUGAUGACUCUGAAUUUCCCAUUGGGUAGCUUCCUCUUGCAGCUGCUUCCUUUUCUCCAAGUUUUGAUGGGCAUGGCGAUUCAAGGAUCGUAUCUCUUCAAACCUUUUUGUCAAUGUCACUUUGGAGUUAUGCGAGGGUUGUUUCUAGCUUCUUGGCGCGAUCUUGCUCAUCCUUCAACUCCUUUAGCGAUUUCUCCAAUAGGUCUUGUAGAGAUUUGAUUUGACCUUGGUAGUCAAUCUCUCGCUUGCAGGCACGAUACUGGGCUUCAGCUAACUCUUUCUUCUUGUUCGUAAUGGUCUCAAAAGACCCUUUUAGAGCAUCUCCCACCUUUCUCCUUUUGUUUUGCUCAAUCUGGAUGUCAGUAUCUGCUUUGUUGAACCUUUCCCUCUUUUGACUGAGGCUGGCCUUCAGGGUAUUCUUCUCUGAGGUGACUUUUAUCAGGCUGGAACGAAGACCGGCGUUCUCUUUUUUCAACUUCUUGAUGAUUUCCUUGAGGCGAUCCACUUCAGAAGUGACAGCGACAAAUGGCUUGGGGGCUUUGAUGCACAUGGAAGGUUCCCACGGGUAUGGCAGUUUGAUCAACUUGGCCCUUGACUUCACCCAAUUAGCAUAGGAGGUAGUCACAGUACACAGCUGUUUGCCCAGGUCUUUCUUUCCCACCCGCUGUAUUUUGCCCCACGCUCUACGUACUUUCUUCAUCAGCUCUAGACUCUCAACCCCUUCGGCCAACAACAUCUCUUCCAACAAACGGUCUUCAGGUUUCUCUUUGAGCAAAUAUCCCAAUUGUCGUAAUAAGAGGACAGGAUUAUAGUUUAUCACACCCUCUUUUGUGCUGACAAGAGGAACGUUUGGGAACUCCCUACAUCGGAAUAUGAACUCCAUUCUCAAGUAAUUGAGACUAAACCAGACGACGCCCUCAGCAUCUAAUGACAUCAACCUUUGUGACCAUUUCAGAUCACCCACAUUAUCAACAAACGACCCUUUCUUCAGAAGAUGGGACAUAAUCCAUUUCUGAAGCAAAGGAAUACAGCAAUUGAUGGUUCCCCCUUUCUUCAUAUUUCUCCAAUGGAAGGAGAAGAAUACAUUAGCUAGUAAGGUGGGAACCAGGUUCUGGGAGAUGAAUAUGGUGAUAGCGGUCUUGUCAACGAAACCUUCAACAUUCGGGAAUAACACCAAUCCAUAGAUGAGUAAUGCAAAGCUGGCGUAAAAGGUGUCCCAGCUUCCAUUGCUGGCAAAUAUCACAGCAUUCUCAAAUAAGAAUUUGGACGGUAGGCCCUACGUGUUACCCUUGACUCGGAGCGUAGCCUCAACUAGAUCAUUCUUCAUGCACAAGGCCUAAGUUAUAUCUGCUGAAUCUAGGAAGUCUUCAUCAAUCAUGUAGGGUGCUUGGUUCUUGACUGGCAACUGUAGUAGAUAAGCAAACUCCUCUAGUGUGGGAGCUAGAAGGAAGUCCUGGAAUGUGAAGCAGUGCAAGGUGGGGUCAUAGAACUGUGCAAAAGUAAACAUCAACCUUGAAUCUUCCUUGGUAUUUAAAAUCCCCAACAGAUUGCCAUAGGCUCGCUUGAAGGCUACUCGGUAAUCUUCGGUAAGGCACUCGCUGAGCUUCCUCAACUCGUCAACCUUGGAGUCUCUUAAUUUAUAUUGAUAGGUUUUUCUUCGGUCGGUCUUAUCCAUGGUUGUACUGACACUAGCAACUGGAACAGUAGGUCCCUGAAAAAUGCAAAUGUAACAUGUAAUGGUUAAUGCAAUGAUGUAAUGAUGUUAUGUGAUGCAAAUGAUGACAGGAUGUCACAUAGUCAGAAUUCUGGCAUUCGCUGGAUAGACUGCAUAAUCUGUUUGUUGCAGGUUCAAAAGUUCGACAUAUGCACAAGAACACGAGUAUGAAGAGUCUUAGUUUCCUGCAAGAAAGACCCAUAUCCCCUCACAAGUGUGUGCUAUCUUUAAAGGGUGGUCCUAGAAGGUUCCUAGAGUCAAUGACCCAAUUUGAGAUACCAUUGUCUUGGACGAAUGACUCGUCGGACAAUGAUGCUCCCAAAAGGAUCUACUCUAGGUGUGACGUCUCGUGUCAACCAUAAUCAUGGAAUAACUCUACGGACGUCAAACAUGACUUUAGUCACGUUACUAUCCUGUGUGUAUACUCAAGCUCGGGUAUAGAGCUUCUCUCUCGUGUAUCAACAUCCCAACCCAAACAACAGCGCAUACAGAUAUCCAGGAUGCCAGAAUGCAUUAAUAAAGUAAAUAGCAAAUAAAAUAAAGCGAGUAUGGUAUAAAGAUGAACACCUAGAAACUAGCGAGGAAACAACCUAAACUAGGCUCGACUCCUUCUAGCGACUAGGAAGUACUCCAAGUAGCGAAGUAUCCCCAGCAGAGUCGCCAGCUGAAGCUAGCAGAAAUAUACCCGAACGUAUCGCAUGCUCGAACAUACAACAGAGUCGCCAUCGAACUUUAUUUAUCCCCAAAGGGAAGGGAAAACAUCGGUAAAACCCAGGGGAAGAGAUAUACUGGGUAAGGAAGUCGGUUAUGUAAGGGGAAGGUAUUAGCACCCCAAACAUCCAUGGUACUCCAUGGGAACCGUUUUGAUUGUUCUCGCUCGAAUAAGUGUUAACUAGAGAUUACUCGCAAAAGAAUAAGGGGAAGGAAAGAAAUAGAUUAAGUGCUCGGUGAGGAUUGGGGCCCUCAUGCCUAUGUAUCCUCAUAAUGCAAUAAGGAAUUCAGAGCUCCCUAGUUCAGAGAACUAAUGGGGCAGGAGGUGGAAAGAAGUGUGAUCAAAGGUAUGGUCUGAACCAAAAGAUAAUAUUGUUUGAACUCCAACAAGGGGUGAAAAUGUGGACCCAAGAGUGAACAGGUUGUUUGAACCGACAAAUGAGGGUGUAUAGCACUUAUAGCACUGUCUGGAACAACCGAAAAGAGGGGAAUUAGGUGUUUGGGAUAAGCGCCAAACAACUCUUGGUUCACAAGGAGGUACAAGAUGGAGCACAAAGGGAUAUUGUAUUUAGCUCAAAGAUAACUGGUAUAUCACAUGAAGUGAAAGAAGGUAGAGCAUGAAGGUAUCAUGGGAAUGAAUGGAGUGAAGUGACUGAAGUCACAUAAUAGAGUAUCUGGUAAUGAGUGACUGGAUAAGUAUUGUUUGAAAUCGAAAGGUGAAAGUGUAUUGGAAUCCAUAAGAGAAGUGAGAUUUCUACCAUAGAGGAAAACCGCGUUAACCAAUAUGUGGACUAGCGGACCGCCACUGUAGGGUUUUAGCUAAAAAGAAGGAAUUAAAUGUUUGGGAUUAGCGCCAAACAACUCUACGCAUGAAAUGUGGACUGUAUCAAGUGUCCUAAAAGAAUGUGUAUGGAAUACCAAAGAAGGUGUAUUUCGAUGUCAAAGAGACAGUAUGUCACUGGAUGAACGAUUUAUGAUCGAAGGUAGAUAGUGAAUUAUGAAAGAUAUGAAUGGUGCCCUAAGGCGAAGGAUGAAUAAUUAGAAGUAUGCUCACCAAGGAUUCGCAUCCUCGUACCUACGUAUUCUCAUUGUGCAAUGAGAAAGUCAGAGCAUUCGUAGUUCGGAACUACGAGAAUGGAAAGAGAGAUUGGUAGUAUGGAGUGCAAGGAGUAGUGUACCACUUGCUGGUGAAUUGGCAAUUCGAGAUCAAAUCAGGAUAGUAACUUGGAUCCAAGAGAAGGAUAAACUCUUAAUCGAAGAGCAAGGAUGAAGUUAGCAUUUGAGUUGAGAGCCAAACAAGGAUGAGGUUAAUGUUUGGGAUAAGCGCCAAACAAAGGUGAAGUUAGUGUUUGGGAUAAGUGCCAAACAAAGGUGAAGUUAGCGUGUGGGAUAAGCGCCAAACAAGGAUGAAGUUAGUGUUUGGGAUAAGCGCCAAACAAAGAUGAAGUUAGUGUUUGGGAUAAGCGCCAAACAAACCUCGAUUGAAGAGACGGGUUGUCCUUAGGACGUCCUAAAAGGAAGGACAAGGAGUCCAAGGAGAAGUAAGAUUGAUCUUGAAAAGAUGGUAUAGAUUGCAUGAAUGGAGAGUGAUCCAUGGGAUAGAGAAGAUAAAUUGAUAAAUAAGAUAGAGCUCACCAAGAAACCGGGUUCUCCUGCCUACGGAUCCUCAUUGUGAAAUGAGGAAAUCAGAGCUUUCGUAGUUCAGCCCACUAGGGAUGAAAAGAAAUUGAAUGGAUGCAAGAGGAAAUGGAUGAUUGAGAUUGAAUUGAAUAGAAUGAUGAAUUAAGUAUGAGAAUGAAGCGAUAAGAGACUUGACAGUCAAUUGAUCACACUAAAGUCUAUGAAUAAGGGCGAACGCUUUGAAUAUUUAGGGCAUACGCCCCAUACGCAAAGUCGCUCUAGACAAGGGUAGGAGAGACUCCCUCUCAUCAUUUCUUAUCACUUAAGACUUGAAAGGCAUGAUACUUAUCUUGACUGACAAGUUGCUGGUGAAGAACCUUUGUUGUUGAUCCUUGUGUUGAUAUUGAACUUGUGUGAAGACUUGGUAGUUUAAUUGAUUCAUCUUGCACUAAAGUAUAUGAAUAAGGGCGAACACUUUGAAUAUUUGGGGCAUACGCCCCAUACGCAAAGUCGCUCUAGACAAGGGUAGGAGAGACUCCCUCUCAUCAUUCCUUAUUACUUAAGGCUCAUUUCGUACAAUUUGAAUCGUUUUUACCAAGUGUUGACCUUUGAAUUGUCUUGUAUAAUUCGCUGCUUGGUAUGACUGGGGAUGCCUUGAUUGAAGAUCUUGUCUCGAGGCCUUGAGCUCCACAGCGUGAAAGAAAAGUCCUACUAAGUGACCAAGGUGGUCACUCAAUUAGAUUGUGGGAUUAUAUAAGUUCAAAGGAUUUAACUAAUCAAAAUUGCUUUUGAUCAAUUUAAUCGGGGGUUUUGUUUUAGUUUUGAAGGGAACUAAUUUUUGGAUCUAAUUGAAGUUAGUCAUUGUUAGAACUAACCUAAGGGAUCAUGUAUUGAAAUUGAUUAAAAUUCUAUGUUAGAAGUCCUAAGGGAGCAUGUCAAAAUAUUGAUUAAAAUCAUUACUAAAAUUCUAUGUUAAGUCCUACAAUGAUUGCAUUCUAACCCUAAGGAUCAAAAUCAUUAUGAUUAACCUAAUUCCUAAUCCAACUAAAUCACAUUAAUAUCUAAUUAAACCUAUUUAAACAAACGAUUCUAUGUUAACGCCCAAUUGACAAUAAAGCCAAGAAAAUCCUAUUUCCUACCGAGAUAAAAAAUGAUGUAAAUUCUAAUCAGAAAAACAAAGUUAAUCAACAAAAAUUAACUAUGAUUAGUGAAUUAACUAAGACCAAGAAAAUCCUAUUUCCUACCGAGAUAAAAAAUGAUGUAAAUUCUAAUCAGAAAAACAAAGUUAAUCAACAAAAAUUAACUAUGAUUAGUGAAUUAACUAAGAAAUUUAAUGGUGGACAUGAGUAUUGGGCCAGGGGUGAAUUUUGAAUAGGGUUGAAACAAGCAAAGGCUAGUUUGUUCGGGCCAAAGGCCCAAGCCUCACUAAGAAUUCGUCCGGGUUUCAAGAUCCCUACGAAAUCUCCAAGAAUUGGCCAGUCGAAAUUCUCCACCGAAAUUCCAUGAACGGAGUGAGAUGCACCUCACCGGAAGCUGACAGCGUCCUCCCCACGACUCUAAGCCAGUGCUUCUUCAAAUCAAAACCCCACUCCGAUCUAACGCUCAACAUGAACCCUGCCGAACCACACACCCAAAUUUAAAACUCAAUGGCAACAAAAGCAAAACUACAUCUUCCUCAUUCGAUCUCAAAUCGGCACUGAGACAACAAACACGGCGCAAGAAAUUCGGAAUCGCUUCGAUCUUGC